AUUUUUUUAACUUAAUUUUUAGAAUUUUAUGCGUCUGAUUGAAUGUGUUUGUGUUUAUGUAGUUAUGCCUUCAACAGCUGAAUGUUUCCAAAAUGACUACCAGCUGUCAGUGCUUCACAUAUCAUUAGUUAUGUAAAAACUAACCUCUCCUUCUUCUGGAGCCCUAAUAACAUAUGAAUCUUGAUUAAAAAAUAUUUCCCCUGAAAUGUCAGUGUUGGGGUGAUUUCCCUUGCUCGCUUUUGGAGAGAAAGCUGGUGUUGGGUCUCCAGGCUGUCCCGGCAACUCUUAAUUACUCUGGACAACAAAAUAUAAGAAAGCUGCUGUUACCUGAACCCUGGCAUCUCAGAGAGCUUUGUUGAUGUGUUUCCUUCGUCUCCUCUGACAUGAAGAACGUAGUUCAGCACAGACACCUGCUUCGUUAUAUAAACUUUCCUCAAUGAAUUGCUUGAUACCUUCAAUUUGGAUGACCCGUUAAUACUGGAUUUCAUUGACUUGCAUGGCCCGAGUUUUCUUUGGAAAUUGCAUCGCUUGCAGAAGAUGGAGUAACAGCUUGAGGAAAUGUCUUCUGUUAAGAGAGAUGUGGUGGGAGCAGAAGAACAGGAAUGGACUUCUUGCCACUGUUCCACCAUGAUCAACUAGACUACAGCUGGAUGGAUUCGCAACCACAGACUGCAUCUGGAUGAGUCUAAGUUCUUUGGUACUCUGUUGAAAUCAAUUCUUUGCCUUCAUGAGAAUCAAGGGUUUUGUUCUUUUCAAGUUUAGGGAACACUGCCUGAAUUCUAGAUACAUGUGAAUUUUGGGAAUGGGAAGGCUUUUCUUUAUCCUUAUGCAGUACCCUAUUAAAUGCUGAAGAGGGAUGAAUCCAACACCGAACCACAGUGUUCUGAGCUUGCCAUCUUUUCUUCUGAAAACCAUCAUUAGAGAAAACCAGAUUAGAAUUCAGUUCUGUGCUGUUUCCCAAGAGCUGAAAAUGAUUGUUCUUUUCUGAAAGGGAGCCACUAGAAAGUUGAUUUUUUUUCCCUGUUUAUUCUAAGUACAUUGUUGAAGUGGAGCUAAAUAUCACUUCAGAAACAGGUUAGUGUACAAGGUCUGGUACGGCAUAACUUCUGGGAAGGGGCUAUGAUUUUACCUGCAGCCUUUAGGUGCAAGAACUGCACCUAACUCCUCAGCUACAGGAGUGAGUUAUAAGACGAGGAAGCACCAUUGAAGGCUCUUGACAAAAUCUUAUCUAUCACCUGUUUUUGCAAUUACUGAAUCAGUCUCUGGUGACCAGAGCAGCUACUCCAGUAUACAAAAUGCAUCCUCGUGGGUGUGGAUGGUGAAAUCCAGAGGAAUUAGAUUUUUCUUGAUUCAGUGAAGCACCUCCCUAAUUUUAAACACAGGGCUGAGCCCAACAACUUCUACGCCUUGAAGCGCAUGCUUAUCACUUUACAUUUAACUGAUAUGCUAAAUAGAAAUGGACUUGAACACGUGCCAGUGCAUCUUGAUAAUUUGAGAGCUAUCCCAAUAACUUUACAAAGAUAACACCUGAUGUUUUGGACAAGAGGGGCUGUGUUUUGAGUUGUAGACCUUAAAGCUUUGCUCAAUAGCCUGCUGUGCAAUGGCUGGCAGCAAG
rnacentral:lncRNA from 1 species